GGGUAUAGCUCAAUGGUAGAGUGUGUGCUUAGCAUGCACAAGGUCUUGGGUUCUAUCCCCAGCAUAUCCA
rnacentral:tRNA from 1 species